rnacentral:tRNA from 1 species
GGAAGGGUGCCCGAGUGGCUAAAGGGGACGGACUGUAAAUCCGUUGGCUACGCCUACGCUGGUUCGAAUCCAGCCCCUUCCACCA